rnacentral:rRNA from 1 species
UCUUGGUCAUUUAGAGGAAGUAAAAGUCGUAACAAGGUUUCCGUAGGUGAACCUGCGGAAGGAUCAUUAACAUAAUAUUCUUACACACUGUUUUUUUACAACAAAACAAAUCUAUCUAAAAACAAUUCUUUACAAGAAAUUCUUAAAACUUUCAACAACGGAUCUCUUGGUUCUCGCAUCGAUGAAGAACGCAGCGAAAUGCGAUACGUAAUACGAAUCGCAGCUCUCGGAAUCAUCGAAUCUUUGAACGCACAUUGCACCAUUGGGUAUUCCCAAUGGUAUGCUUGUUUGAGCGAAUACUUCCCUAAUCCUCACGGAUUGUAUUGUGUUUGCACGAAAAUAAUGACGACAGUACUCUACAAAACGGUACCGUCAGUACACUCAUUUUUUUUCCUCAAAUCAAGUAGGACUACCCGCUGAACUUAAGCAUAUCAAUAAGCGGAGGA